rnacentral:rRNA from 1 species
UACGGAGGGAGCUAGCGUUGUUCGGAAUUACUGGGCGUAAAGCGCGCGUAGGCGGCUUUGUAAGUUAGAGGUGAAAGCCUGGAGCUCAACUUCAGAAUUGCCUUUAAGACUGCAUCGCUUGAAUCCGGGAGAGGUGAGUGGAAUUCCGAGUGUAGAGGUGAAAUUCGUAGAUAUUCGGAAGAACACCAGUGGCGAAGGCGGCUCACUGGACCGGCAUUGACGCUGAGGUGCGAAAGCGUUGGGAGCAAACAGG